UACAGAGGUGGCAAGCGUUGUUCGGAAUUACUGGGCGUAAAGGGCGCGUAGGCGGCUUGGUCAGUCCCGUGUGAAAUCCCUCGGCUCAACUGAGGAACUGCACGGGAAACUGCCUGGCUUGAGUUCGGGAGAGGGAAGCGGAAUUCCAGGUGUAGCGGUGAAAUGCGUAGAUAUCUGGAGGAACACCGGUGGCGAAGGCGGCAUCCUGGACCAAUUCUGACACUGAGGAGCGAAAGCCAGGGGAGCAAACGGG
rnacentral:rRNA from 1 species